rnacentral:rRNA from 1 species
CAGCAGCCACGGUAAUACGUAGGGCGCAAGCGUUGUCCGGAAUUAUUGGGCGUAAAGAGCUCGUAGGCGGUCUGUCGCGUCUGGUGUGAAAUCCCGAGGCUCAACCUCGGGCUUGCAUCGGGUACGGGCAGACUAGAGUGCGGUAGGGGAGACUGGAAUUCCUGGUGUAGCGGUGGAAUGCGCAGAUAUCAGGAGGAACACCGAUGGCGAAGGCAGGUCUCUGGGCCGCAACUGACGCUGAGGCACGAAAGCGUGGGGAGCAAACAGGAUUAGAUACCCCUGUAGUCCCUGUCUCUUAUAC